UGCUUCGUGAACAAAAAGCCUGCCCCGCCCCGUCGUCUGCAAAGCGCCUAACAGUUCGCCGGCAGGCCGCCGCCUGGCAGUUAAUCGGAAAAGAGCAGAUACCCACAGUUCCCCUGACGAUUUUGUAUCGACGGUCAAUGACUGUCAGGCAGCCUGCCGACCAGAGCCUGCAGGCGGACUGUUAAUGUGUGGGACCCUUAAGACUUCGAUGUCUCUAUCAUUGCGAUUAUAA